rnacentral:rRNA from 1 species
CCCAGACUCCUACGGGAGGCAGCAGUGGGGAAUAUUGCACAAUGGGGGAAACCCUGAUGCAGCAACGCCGCGUGAAGGAAGACGGUUUUCGGAUUGUAAACUUCUGUUCUUAGUGAAGAAGAAUGACGGUAGCUAAGGAGCAAGCCACGGCUAACUACGUGCCAGCAGCCGCGGUAAUACGUAGGUGGCAAGCGUUGUCCGGAAUUAUUGGGUUUAAAGGGUGCGCAGGCGGAAGAUCAAGUCAGCGGUAAAAUUGAGAGGCUCAACCUCUUCGAGCCGUUGAAACUGGUUUUCUUGAGUGAGCGAGAAGUAUGCGGAAUGCGUGGUGUAGCGGUGAAAUGCAUAGAUAUCACGCAGAACUCCGAUUGCGAAGGCAGCAUACCGGCGCUCAACUGACGCUCAUGCACGAAAGUGUGGGUAUCGAACAGGAUUAGAUACCCCCGUA